GUCCCAAACCCGAUUCAGCUAUGGUCAACUCCAUUUCAGGUCAAGAAAAUCCUUCAAACUUCAACACCAGUAUCGCGCCUAAUCCGAUGGUUCCUCAGUUCCAUCACCGCAGAACAAACAAAACGGCGGUUUUCCAUCUCACCGCCGUGAUUCUUCAUCACCUGAAAUGGAUCUCCUAGCGUGUUCUUGAAAGCUCCACACACUGCUUCAUCUCCAAGUCCUCAACCUUCUUCCAAGCUUGUGGAUUCAUGGAUUUAGAGGGGGAGCGAAGCAAAAACAGGAUUCUCACAUCAAAUUGGUUUUGAAAUCCUAUAUCAACGGCUCAAAUCAUCAUUGCACGUGUGUGAAAACAAGAAGAACAUGAAUUAAAGUCGAAACCAGAACUUACCGGAUUUGCUGCAAACAGGUGUCGAAGGCUGUUUCUCUCUUGUUUUGAUUGACCUUCAAUCUAAUCUUCCAUCUUCUUCUGUUCUUGAUGUAGAGUGGUUGUGCAGAAUGAGGUCGAUGCAGAAGAUUUCUAAACUCAAUGCGAAAGAUUGCCGAGAACUUGAUGCAGAAGGUUCAGAGCUUGAUACGGGAACGAGAUUGAUGAACUUGGUACCGAAAGAUUGAGAACUCGCGCAUUGAGAUAUGAACUUGAUGCAGAAGAUUGCAGAGUAAGGUCGAGAAUCUGCAGAAUGCAGCAGAUGAAAAAUAGAGUCCAAAAGAUUGGAGUGUGAGGAAUGUGGGAUAGUUUCUCAUUUUCGGCUAGUUAUUUCGGGAAGUGUAACCUGUGGAUUUCCCACCUUGUUGACAUAUAUGUGAGAGAACCAAGAUUUGAACGUGAGUUGCAUGAUUCUGAUUCCUUCAAAUUAAUGUCGUUCGUUUUGAACGUGAGUGCAGUUAUAACUUAUUGCUUAUGAUAAAUGGAAGUUGUUGUUAAAGUUGCAGGUUGAUGUUAGCAUGAGCAGAAACUACGACUUUCACUUGGAAAGCAUGGCUCAUGGUUUGUAGGCUCGAUGGUCAAAAUGCGACUUUGUGAAUUCUGGACUGAACUGCACUUGGACAUUGCGAACUUGCCAUGAAUAGGCAUGCUGCUGGUUGGAAACGAACUGGUUCGGUUAUGCCGAUAAGAGCAGUAUCGAAUGAGUUCUGUUAUGAUAUUUUUUAGUGAGGCUCAACUUGUUAGCAGUUACAAUUGAAUGGAAUCAUGAACUGUUAAAAAAAACCUUGUUAUUGUUAACUCUUCCAAGCUGCCAAAUGAGUAAUCAAAAGAAAGUCCAUUGCAAUGCAGGUGAAAAGAUUGUAUGAGCAGGUUGUACGGUUUGCACUUAGGUCUGGUUUUGCCGGUCCUGGAAUUGUUUGGCUAAAAUCCAGUAUGAAGACUUGUCGGUGCAGUUAUUUGCAAGAUGAAACUUGGUGUGAACUGCUGCCAAAUGCACAUGUUGUUGGUGCAGGUUCAAUAUUUACAUUGCAAUUGUUGAUGAUGGAAGCUUGAAUUCCGAGGUGCUAUGUAUUACGAUGAUGGGUGGAAGUCCGUUGUUGCAGCCAGUUUUGAACUAUGUUGCUAAAGGCUUACGAUGACGAAACAGGCGUGUAUCAAAGAUCAGGUUAAUUUUUGGUUUUUGAACCUUGGUUGGUCAAUGCUAGCUAGUGACUUGUCAUUGUGAAUCAUAGGCCACGAAGCGUAGGUUCCGAAAUCGGAUGUAUAUAAUUUAUGUUAUGCAUUUGGAAUGCAAUUUGGAACUUGGUUGAAUAGGUUUUUAGGUGGUAUUUAUGGUUAAAGUCAUGUAGGAUAAGUCAUGUGUAUGGUUGUAUGUACUUUGGAGUUGAAAUAUUGUAAGUUGAAUUUGGUUUGAAAUGUAUAUAGAUAUCAUAACUUUGGAUUGAAGUUGUGAAUUGCUUUUGAAAUGGCUUCAA